rnacentral:rRNA from 1 species
GUCGAACGGUGAAAAUGAGGCUUCGGCCGAAACACGAGUGGCGCACGGGUGAGUAAUACAUAGGUAAUCUGCCCUCGAGUGGGGGAUAACGUUCCGAAAGGAGCGCUAAUACCGCAUAACCCGCAUUGAGCACAAGCUCUUUGCGGCAAAGAUGGCCUCUGCUUGCAAGCUAUCGCUUGAGGAGGAGCCUGUGUCCCAUUAGGUAGUUGGUGAGGUAACGGCUCACCAAGCCUGCGAUGGGUAGCCGGCCUGAGAGGGUGGUCGGCCACACUGGCACUGAGAUACGGGCCAGACUCCUACGGGAGGCAGCAGUGAGGAAUUUUGGGCGAUGGGCGAAAGCCUGACCCAGCGACGCCGCGUGGGCGAUGAAGGUCUUCGGAUUGUAAAGCCCUGUGAGUUGGGAAGAAGGGGUUAGUUGCUAAUAUCAACUAAUUCUGACAGUACCGACAGAGGAAGCCCCGGCUAACUACGUGCCAGCAGCCGCGGUAAUACGUAGGGGGCUAGCGUUGUUCGGAAUUACUGGGCGUAAAGCGCGUGUAGGCGGUUUUGUAAGUCAGAAGUGAAAUCCUCCGGCUCAACUGGAGAACUGCAUCU